rnacentral:pre_miRNA from 1 species
GAACUACUCCCUCCGUUCCGAAUUACUCGUCGCAGAAAUGAAUGUAUCUAGAUGUAUUUUAGUUCUAGAUACAUCCAUUUCUACGACGAGUAAUUUGGAACGGAGGGAGUAUUUG